rnacentral:rRNA from 1 species
UAGCAAUACUGCAUUCAGUGGCGGACGGGUGCGUAACACGUGAACAAUCUGCCCGGAAGAGGGGGAUAGCCCAGGGAAACUUGGAUUAAUACCCCGUGUGAUCGGAAUGGGCAUCCAUUCCACAUCAAAGGUGCUGCAAGGUGCCGCUUCCGGAUGAGUUCGCGCCCUAUCAGCUUGUUGGCGGGGUAACGGCCCACCAAGGCAAUGACGGGUAGCUGGUCUGAGAGGAUGACCAGCCACACUGGAACUGAGACACGGUCCAGACACCUACGGGUGGCAGCAGUCGAGAAUCAUUCACAAUGGGCGAAAGCCUGAUGGUGUGACGCCGCGUGGAGGAUGAAGGUCUUCGGAUUGUAAACUCCUGUCAAGUGAGAGUAAAGCCGGGCGUUAACUGCGUGCCGGUUUGAGAGUAUCACUAGAGGAAGAGACGGCUAACUCUGUGCCAGCAGCCGCGGUAAUACAGAGGUCUCAAGCGUUGUUCGGAAUCACUGGGCGUAAAGGGUGCGUAGGCCGCACGGUAAGUCAGAGGUGAAAUCCCGGAGCUCAACUCCGGAAUUGCCUCCGAUACUGCCGUGCUUGAGGACUGGAGAGGAGAUUGGAAUUCACAGUGGAGCAGUGAAAUGCGUAGAUAUUGUGAGGAACACUAGUGGCGAAGGCGAAUCUCUGGACAGUUCCUGACGCUGAGGCACGAAGGCCAGGGGAGCAAACGGGAUUAGAUACCCCGGUAGUCCUGGCAGUAAACGGUGCACGCUUGGUGUGGCAGGAUUCGACCCCUGCCGUGCCGGAGCUAACGCGUUAAGCGUGCCGCCUGGGAAGUACGGUCGCAAGAUUAAAACUC